GCAAGAGUAUGUCUAAAUAUACCACAGAGGCUGAAUGCCUCAUUUCUCCAAUGCAGUCAUUCUUCUGGCAUUAAAGACAAGUUAAAAUUAUUAAUACCUCUACUUCCAUCAAAAUCUAGGCAUUGUUUGAAUGCAUUUUUGUACUUUUAUAGUUGACCUCUCAAAAUACUCAAACAUGGAGUUCCAUCUUUAGUGUGUAUGGAUACAAUAUCUCCAUAUUGGAAAGCAACAAUGAAAUAACAAUAGCUGCAAUACCAACGUCAGUCUUGCAAGUUAUUUUAUGUGCAAAAUGAAGGGACACUUAAAAUAACCUUGAGUGUGGCUUUAAAGGCUUAAUUUACUAAAAAAUGCUAUUGUCUAGUUACAUAAGAGAGCAACUGGUUUUGUUAUGCUGUAUUAAAUUCUGGAGCUUUUAAAUUCUCUAAUCACUAUUGUGGGUGAAUCUGUCCUGAAGAUUUCUGUGUCACUUGUCACUAAGCAUUUUCCCCUUGCCUUCACAGUGAUGGGAAAAACCUAAUCAGUCUGGGUUCAUCAUGCUAAAGGGUAUUUGCUGAAAAUUCAUCACAUGUGAUCAGUGUAGAUUGCAUCCUGAUAUAACUGGAUUUGAAGGCUCAAACUUUUCUUCCUGAGUCACAGAAACAACAGGAGCUCUCUGCAACAGACUAUCUAUCCAGCAAAACAAUAUCAAAAAAUUAAAAGGCAAACUGGGAGUGGAAAUCCUGGUCACAGGAUGCAAAAGUGGAACUACAUGAAUAUUUCAGAGACAUCUACAGAUUGUACAGUCAGAAUACCUCCACUACUAUUCUACAAGGAAUAUGCAGCAAGAGACGACAGUGCUUCCACCUAUGAAAAAGCUAUGGACUCCACAGUAUCUGCUCUGGCAUGCCAGCUGGCCUCUCCACACAUGUCUUCUGUCUCUCUCAUCAGCACGUAUGGAACAGAGAUGUGUGCUGUCACCUGGGAAGGAGGAAGAUGCAAAGAUUUUAAAGCAAUAAGCACAAACAUGGGCUCAGCAUUUUGA
rnacentral:lncRNA from 1 species